rnacentral:tRNA from 1 species
AGCGGUGGCUUUGGGAUGUAGAUGCGAAAAUUAGGAAUCAUAAUCCUGGGGUCGGGGGUUCGAGUCCCUCUCCCGCUACCA